AAAUAGGUUGCUCUUAAUUGAGUAUAAUAGGGAAUUCGGUGUGAAACCGAAGCUGUAUCCGCAACUGUAAGUGUAGAAGACUGUGUAAAAUAUGCCACUGUUAAAUGAGGAAAAAUGCCUCUAGUCAAUGGGAAGGCUUGCACAUGAUACACGAGCCAGGAGACCUGACUUAUUUU
rnacentral:ncRNA from 1 species